rnacentral:rRNA from 1 species
CCUACGGGAGGCAGCAGUGAGGAAUAUUGGUCAAUGGCCGGAAGGCUGAACCAGCCAUGCCGCGUGAAGGUCAGUGCCCUAUGGGCGUUAAACUUCUUUUGUGCGGGAGCAAUAAUGGUCACGUGUGGCCAGACGAUAUUACCGUUCGAAUAAGCAUCGGCUAACUCCGUGCCAGCAGCCGCGGUAAUACGGGGGAUGCAAGCGUUAUCCGGGUUUAUUGGGUUUAAAGGGUGCGUAGGCUGGGAGGUAAGUCAGCGGUGAAAUGCCCCCGCUCAACGGGGUGAAGUGCCAUUGAUACUGCAUGGCUGGAAUGCGGAUGCCGUGGGAAGAAUGUGUGGUGUAGCGGUGAAAUGCAUAGAUAUCACACAGAACACCGAUUGCGAAGGCAUCUCACGAAUCCGCGAUUGACGCUGAUGCACGAAAGCGUGGGUAUCAAACAGGAUUAGAUACCCCAGUAGUC